rnacentral:rRNA from 1 species
UACGAAGGGGGCUAGCGUUGCUCGGAAUCACUGGGCGUAAAGGGUGCGUAGGCGGGUCUUUUAAGUCAGGGGUGAAAUCCUGGAGCUCAACUCCAGAACUGCCUUUGAUACUGAGGAUCUUGAGUUCGGGAGAGGUGAGUGGAACUGCGAGUGUAGAGGUGAAAUUCGUAGAUAUUCGCAAGAACACCAGUGGCGAAGGCGGCUCACUGGCCCGAUACUGACGCUGAGGCACGAAAGCGUGGGGAGCAAGCAG